UAGGGAAUCUUCGGCAAUGGAUGGAAGUCUGACCGAGCAACGCCGCGUGAGUGAAGAAGGUUUUCGGAUCGUAAAGCUCUGUUGUAAGAGAAGAACGAGUGUGAGAGUGGAAAGUUCACACUGUGACGGUAUCUUACCAGAAAGGGACGGCUAACUACGUGCCAGCAGCCGCGGUAAUACGUAGGUCCCGAGCGUUGUCCGGAUUUAUUGGGCGUAAAGCGAGCGCAGGCGGUUAGAUAAGUCUGAAGUUAAAGGCUGUGGCUUAACCAUAGUACGCUUUGGAAACUGUUUAACUUGAGUGCAAGAGGGGAGAGUGGAAUUCCAUGUGUAGCGGUGAAAUGCGUAGAUAUAUGAAGGAACACCGGUGGCGAAAGCGGCUCUCUGGCUUGUAACUGACGCUGAGGCUCGAAAGCGUGGGGAGCAAACAGGAUUAGAUACCCUGGUAGUCCACGCCGUAAACGAUGAGUGCUAGGUGUUAGACCCUUUCCGGGGUUUAGUGCCGUAGCUAACGCAUUAAGCACUCCGCCUGGGGAGUACGACCGCAAGGUUG
rnacentral:rRNA from 1 species